rnacentral:lncRNA from 1 species
UUUUUUUUUUUUUUUUUUUUUGGAGGAUUUGUGAAGGACUUGCAUUCAUCCCUACGCUAUAAUUACACUUUUCAAGAUCUACUUUCUUAAGACUUGCUGAAAGUUUUUUGAGCACGCACAUCUUUAUUUAAUUAAGGAAACAAGGUAUUGGCUUCCACAAUUUAGGUGACCACUUAUUUGCGAUUCUCAGAGGGUUCAAUUUGGUAGAAAAGGAAAGAGGAACGGUUCCUUGCCUGCCUUUGUACCAGGGUAUCUCCCAUGUUUAUGAUUGGUGAAAAUGUCGACCCGCGCCGAGAGAAACACGGAGACAGAGUUUUGAGUGAAGGGGAAAAAAUAGCUUUUAUUGCUUUACCAGUCCAAUGGCAAGAUUUUCAGUCUACUACCCCCCAAAUCCCAGUCCUUCCCACACCCCAAACUCCAGUCUGUCAAGCACAAAUCAGUUUUCCAGUCCACAAGUUUCUUUUCUGUAGAAAAUUUCAUGGGUGUCAUUUGUCAGAUUCCAGAUAGACUCGGUGUCCCAUGGUAUAUGCCUUUCACUUUCAGACAUAUUUCACUUACUAUGAGAGUUCCUCUUUCAAUCUAUGUGGCUGUGAAUGGCAUUUUUUUGCUCCAUUUUAUGGCCAAGUAGAUUUCCAUUGUGUGUAUGUAAAUCCUCUUCCUAAUCGAAUAUCCUGUCCAUGGACAUAGAGUUGUUUCAGUCUUGCUAUGGUGAAUAGUGCUGCAUGAACAAAGCGGGGCAUUUAAAAAUUUUUAAAGAGUGUAUAAAUCCUCUUCCUAAUCGAAUAUUCUGUCCAUGGACAUAGAGUUGUUUCAGUCUUGCUCUUGUGAAUAGUGCUGCAUGAACAAAGCGGGGCAUUUAAACAUUUUUAAAGAGUGUUUGCCGGGUAUAUGCUCAAGAGUCCGAUUUCCGAGUCAUAUGGUCCUCUCACAUUGGUUUUUCAGACUGCCUCGAUCCUGCGUCCGUAGUGGUUGUAGCAGUUUACGUAACCACCCAACUGUAAGAAGGUGCCUUCAGCUCCACAUCCUCUCCGGGGUUUUUAUUUGUAGACUUCCUAAUGAAGGUCAUUCAAGAGGGGUGCCUUUUGAAUGUCAUUUUGUUUGCAUUUCUCUCCUAAUAAAUGAUCUUUUUUUUUUUUUUCUGGUGCUUGCUGCCCUCUGUUUAACUGGCUUAGGGAAAUAGCUAUUCAGGUCUUUUGCCCAUUUUUCAAUUGGGAUCUUGGUGGUGUUUUUCUGUUGGGUGGUGUUUUGGCUGUUGUUGAGCUGGUAAUUUUGAUACCCCGGCCUGACCUGGGCUUUGGUAUUCAGAUAAAGUGCCUGCGGGUUGUGCAUGAAAGGGGAUAAUAUGGUGAUAUUUUGCUCAGUCACUGUGCUAAUUCCUGUGCUUUUUGUCUCAAGCGGUCUCCUGAAAAUCCAUCCUUUUCUUUAUAUUGUGAGGCUCUUCUCUUCUCUCCAUUCACUUGGUUUAAAUACCUGACCUAGAGCAAGGUCAGGUUAAUUAAGGCUGGUAGAUUCAAUUAUAUAAAUAAAUCUCUCACCAAGAUCCCUCGAGGAUCCCUUGGUAAAAGAUCAAUCUUUCUCUCUGUAGUGGUUUGAUAACCUCUAUGUCUUGAAAAAUAUCGACUGGCCGAAAACGCACACAUGCUUAAGGUGGAGUCAAUAAAGUUAGAAAUAUGUCAAGAGAGAAAGAGAAAAAUGAAAGAAAAAAGCAAGACUUUAUGAAUGAAGGAUUCACAGUUGGAAAAUAAAGAACAAAAUCAGUUGUUACAUACCUACAACCUAUCUUCAUAAAUACAUAAUUGCAGGGAUAUAUAACAAUGGAAGUAGGAUAUCAUGAAAUGAUGGGUCUGGAGCUGGGUGUUUGAAGUGAGUAGCAUCUGUAAUAUGUUUGCUACAGGGCUCUGAAUGCUUUGAGAGAGAAGUAGCCCAGCUGGGAGGUCACUUCUUGAUAUUUCAUAAACCAGAGGAAGGAAACCCAAGGAGCAUAUUGCCCAUGAAUAAUGCAGCUCCUUGGGCUGUUGAGCCUGUUAGGGGAAGAAGACCUGACAGUGGCUGUUAGAGCAGAUGUCCACCAGAUGGCCCCAGAGUAAGUUCUGGACCCGAUGCAGCUCCAGGCCUGCAGGUGCAGCUCAGGCCACAUCCAGCACCUUGAUUUUGGUUUUGUUUUCUGAACACCUGUGACUCUCUGCUCUGAUAUGUCUCAUGUCAGGCGAAGGACACAGGUGUCCCUUCAGCAUUUUUAGGUGGAUUGGGGCCUGGUGGGGUGCCAGGGGUUUUAGAAUAUUUGAAGAAUUCACUGGGUUUUGAAGUGUUUUGUGUUCCUCCCGAUGUAGGUGCCAAGACCCAUACAUCAUUUGUGUUGAAUCGUGGCCUGGCCAUUUUAAAGCCCCUGCGGGUUGGAGGUUCAAGUAUGUUGAAGAUAGAGGCUGGUGCUGAUGAAGGAAUGAUGGCUUCUGGGGCAUCAUGGGGGCAGCUGUGCUAAUCCCUGUGCUUGUUUCUUUCAAGAGGCCUGGGGCAUGUUCUUCUUGCCUUUGGAGAUGAGCAUCUCUUUUCAGUACAGUGCCAGGUUAAGGAGGCCUGACUGAAACCAUGUCUGGUUAAGUAAGCAGGGCUGAUUGGUAUCAUCAAGAAUGCUCUCAGCGUGUUCCCUCGUGGCUGCCUGGCUUAAUAGUCUCUCUCUGUCACUGCUGUGGCUGUGCUCAAACCUUUGAUGUGUGAUCAGACUCUGGCCAGACAACAUUCCAGUAUCACAUGUGGCACCCAAAUAUAUUUAUAAGUGCAUACAUAUACUGAAAGGAAUGUGCUCAAUUUAUAAAGAAGUCAAAGAAAGCAUAUUCACAUUCCUACAGUGUAGCUAAGGACAUUGGUAGCUAAGGCAAUCCUAACGGCUCUCCUGACCCUAUAACUUGGGUGGCAGAUUUUUUUAAAGUACGAGCCCAGGUUUGUACUACAGUGGUGUGGUUUCAGUUCCUGGGCAGACAGUAUCUGCAUCCAACAAAAGGGUGCAGAGCCAUAAAUAGGUAAAUAAAAAGAAAAAUGUUAAUGUAGAAAUUAAUCAUAAACCUAUGAAAUUCUCUGUUUUUGGAUGUCACAUUGCUAAGAAAUCUUGGCAGGUUCAACGGAGACGGUUUGCCUGUUGUUGUUUUGAUUGUUUUGUUUUUUUGUUUUUUGUUUUUUUCUGAGAGAGGCGUGAUUCUGGACCCAGACGUCUUCUCUGGUGAAUGCUGAGCCAGUCAUUUUUGUGGGCUUUAUAAAACCAUCUUUAAAGUUUCCAUUGGAGCUGAUUUAUUCUCAAUUUCUCUUUAAGAGCAACGUGAUACAUUUGUACCUGUAUAUACACAUUCUAUUUUAAAGUUGUAGUAGUUUUAUUUUUUCCGUUAUAGCUGGUUUAGAAUGUUGUGUCAAUUUUCUGCUGUACGCAGAUGACCCAUUAUCACGCUCCAUUAUAAGUGACCAUAUAUAAUUCCCAGUGCUAUGCAGCAGGUUCUCAUUGACGCUCCAUUCCAGAGGCAAUAGUUUGCAUCUAUUAACCCAAAGUCCCCCUCCGUCCCCCUCCCUCCCCCUUGCCAGCGGCACAGGUGUCCCUCAGGAUAUGGAGGUGGACUGGCAGUCUGGUUGGGUGGCAGUGCUUUUAGAAUGCUUGUAGCAUUCACUGGGUUUCAGAAUGACUUGUGUUCCUGCAGAGGCGGGGACUGAGACACACACAGCAUCUGUGUUGUAUCAUCACUGGGCCAUUUUCCAGCCCCUGACCAUUGGGGGUUUAUGUAGUUUGAGGAAGAGGCUGGUGCCCACAAAUGAAUGAGGGGCUUUGGUGUCAUUAAGGUGGGCAGCUGGGCUAAUCCUUGUGCUUUUUUCACUCAAGAGGCUUAGGGAAAUUUCAUUUUUGCCUUUUGAGAUGAGCCUCACCUUUCACUACAGCGCCAGGGUGUGGAGGCAUGACUGAAACCAGGCCUGAUGAAUUGAGAAGAGUUGAUUGGUAUCAUCAAGGACGCGCUCAGGAAGUUCCCUUCUGGCUGCCUGGCUCAAGAUUCCCUCUCUGUUGGUGCUGUGGUUGUGUUAAGAGCUGCAUCGGGAGAUUGAACCCUGGCCAGACAACAUCCCCAUAUCGCAGGUGGCACACAAAUAAAUUUAUAAAUUAAAAGAGAUAUAGAAAUGAAUGAGCUCAGUUGAUAAAGUCCUUAAUCAAUACAUAUCUGCAUUCCUAAAGAGCAGACCAGUGAAUUGAUAGAUGAGGCAAUCCUAAAGGCAUUGCUGACACUCUAACUCAGGGGACAGAGCCCGAUCCUGCUGUUGUGCAGAAGUGCGGUGGACUAAGUACCUAGGCAGACAGUAUCUGCAUGCCAAACAUUGCCCCAGGACAUAACUAGAUAAGUGAAACUAGUAAAUAAAAUGCUAAUACAGGAUUAUAUUCCUACACACUAAGUAAUUAUAGCUGGUCUUUUUCACAUUGCUAGGAGAUCUUGACAGGUUCAAUGAAUUCUCUCUGCCAGGUUUUUUGUUUUUUCCUUAAGAGGCAGGAGUGUGGACAUAGACAUCUUCUCUGGUGAUGCUGAGCCGGUCAUUUUAGAAUGAUUUUAUCAUUUUUUUCCUUUACAGCUGGUUUAUUGUGCUCAGUUUUUCUUUAACAGCAAACUGAUCCCUACGUACUUGUAUAUACAUACUCUUUUGCUCACAUAUCCUCCACCUUGCUCUGAAAAAGGGGACUAGAUAUAGUUCCCUGGGCUAAGUAUCAGGGUGUCAUUGCUUACCACACCAAGUGCAAGGUUUUGGAUCUAUCAACCCCCAAACCCCAGUCCUUCACACACCCUCCCCCUCCAAUCCGAUAACCGCAAAUCUGUUUUCCUGUUCAGAGUUUCUUUUCUGAUGAAAGGUUCCUUACUGCCAUUUGUUAGACUCCAGAUAGAAGGGGUAUUCUUUGGUAUUUUUCUUUUUUCUUUUUGUCUUUUCUAGGGCCACACUCGUGGUGUACGGAGAGUCCCAGGCUAGGGGUCUAAUCAGAGCUGUAGCCGCCGGCCUACGCCAGAGCCACAGCAACACAGGAUCCGAGCCGCGUCUGCGACCUACACCACAGCUCACAGCAAUGCCGGACCCUUAACCCACUGAGCAAGGCCAGGGAUCGAACCCGCAACCUCAUGGUUCCUAGUUGGAUUUGUUAACCACUGAACCACGACGGGAACUCCCUUUGGUAUUUUUCUAUCUCUUUCGGACUUCUUUCACCUAGUGUGAGGGUUUCUAGUUCCAUCUAUGAGGCUGUGGAAGGCAUUUUUUCUUCUUUUAUGUCUGAGUAGUAUUCCAUUGUGUACAUGUACAUCCUGCUCCUAAUCCCGUCAUCUGUCGAUGGACACUGGGUUUGUUCCCUUAUUUUGCUAUUGUGAAUAGUGCUGCAUGUGCCUAGCUCUGCCUUUAACUUUUUAAAAGAACACUUUCCAGGAGUAUGCCCGAGACUGGGAUUGCUGUGUCAUGGGUUGUUCUAUAUUUAUUUCUUGUAUUUAACUCAAUUCAGUGGACCGCAGUGGUUGUACCAAUUUAGAUACUCACCUACACUGUGGGAGGGCAUGCUCUACAGCACACCCAGCUCACCAUUCCUUAACUGUAGCCUUUCCAAUGAUGCCCAUUCUCACGGAUGUGCGGUGGCAUCUCAGCACCCAUUUUAUUUGCUUCUUUCUACUGCUGAGUGAUGGUGAUCAUUUUUACAGCGCUUGUUGCCCUCUGAGUAUCUGGACUAGGGAAAUGCGUACUUAGGUUUUUACCCAUUUUUCCAUGGGGUUGUUGGCUUUAUUUUGCUGUUGUGCAGAAUCUGUUGUUGGGGUGGUGUUUUGGAAACCCCAGCCUGACCUGGGAUUUUGGAUCCAGAAAACGUGCCUGUGGGUUGUAUGGAAGGUUGUAGAUGGUGAUGGUUUGGUGAGCAGCUGUGCCUCCCUGUGCUUUUCCCCACGUGGUCCCUGAAACCGGGUCCUUUUCUCUCCACGUGAUCCUCUUUUGCUCUCCCUAUACACUUGCUGUGAGGACCUCAUCUAAAUCCAGGUCCGGGGAUUAAGGCAGGCAUAUUGAUGGAUGUAAAGGAAGCUCUCACCAAGAUGCCUCCCUGCUCCCUUGGUAAAAGGUACGUCUUUGUCACUGUGGUGGGUUUGGUAACUUCUUUUGCUGAAACAACUUUAGUGGACCAACAACUCAUGCACGCCUCAGGUGGGGUCAAUAAAUUUAGAAAGAAAGAG